rnacentral:rRNA from 1 species
CGGCACGAGGGGUUCAUAAUAAAUGGGUGUAAAUAAUUUGGCAAUUAAUUUGUUCAACCUAGGGAUAACAAUGGUGUUUAUCGGGCAACUGUAUAGCAAAUACACAGGGUUUAGUUAAAGAUGUUUAUAUUUUAGAGUUGAAAUGUGACCAGUAUUUAUGAAUUUCAACAAACGUUGGCCAUAACUAUAAUGGUCCCAAGGUAGCAAAAUUCCUUGUCGUUUAAGUAACGACCUGCAUGAAGCAUGCAAUGAUUUGAUAGCUGUUUUAUAUUAAUGUGUUGGUGAAAUAUUAGUUGGUGUCAAGAUACGUCUUUUAUUGUUACGGGACAAAAAGACCCUGUGAAGCUUUAUAGGAUACAAAUUAGUACGGAUUUUAUCUUUUCAAUACAGAUUUAUGGUAGAAACAGAUAUUUCAAGAACCAUUAGUUGGAAACUUAAAUAUCUUUUUCUUUUUGGAUUUCUGCAUUUGGGACAGGCAUCUGUGAUUGUGAUUUUAUGUGCCAAGUGGCAUCUGUGAUUGUGAUUUUAUGUGCCAAGUGGCAUCUGUGAUUGUGAUUUUGAUUUGUUGUUUUUGGGUCUGUUUAAUUGGGGCGACGACCUUAUUUACUGGAACCAAUGGUGUACAAAGUUCAGAAUAUGAAACUUUUUUAAAGGACUUGUAAGUGCAAAGAUACAAUUCAAGGUUUAAUGGCAGCUGUUUUGUUCAUUAUGUAAGCAGUGUUUUAGUGACCUUAUAAUUAAUUUAACAGAUAAAAGCUACUCAAAGGAUAACAGGCUUAAUAUGUUAGAUAGCUCACAUUAAAUAAAUGGUUUGGCACCUCGAUGUCGGCUUAUCUUAUCCAAAAUCUGUAGGCUUUGGUUUAUUGGUAGGAGUGCUCAUCCUAUAAUAAGGUACGUGAGCUGGGUUCAGAACGAUGUAAAUCAGUUUGGUCUAUAUCUUUAACAAUUAUAAAAAUGGGUAUGGAGUAGUUUGUUCAGUACGAAAGGACCAACAGACAAUAGCAGAAGAUGAAUUUUGUGUUGUAGUGGUAUUACUGUUCUAGGUCUAAGUAUUAGAUAAGUGAUUAUCGNAUCCUAAC